rnacentral:lncRNA from 1 species
GGAAACUGGAUGUUCUCCUAAAACAGCCACCUAGCCAAGCUGAACCAACAGAGAUGUAUUGAUCACCGGGUCAAUGGAACUAGGUGGGUGCUGGGGGGAAAGUCAGCAGGUAAGUCAGGUGAGGACUGCCUCCCUUCCACUCCCCACCCAGAGACUGAAGACAGACAGACAGACAGAGGCGUUCAUUCAGAAAGAAGUAGGAGGGCUUCAGGGAUUCAGCGGAGGAGACUGAAAGCCUGAGAGACGAUGCCUCUGAGAAGGUUACAGACCUUGGGAGAAAGCGCUUUCACCUCCUCACCACAGACACUCUCGACUGUGGACUCAGGACACUAAGCCAGAAAGGUGACGAUUUCCUUCUUGAACCCGGCCUGCAUCAGCAGCUCAGACCCAGGGCUCCGGGUCCUUUGCUCUAUGUCCAGUGCUCUUUUUGCUCCCUCACACACUUAGCGAUGGCAGUGUUCUUAGUAUACUCAAAGAGCUUUGUAAUGAAUUAGAGCAGCCAUUCCCAACCUUCCUAGUGCUGCGGUCCUUUAAUACAGUUUCUUAAGUUGUGGCGAACCAUCCCCCCCACCCCCAACCAUAACAUUAUUCUUGCUGCUGCUGUUAUGAAUCGUAAUGAAACAUUUGAUCUGCAGUACAUCUGAUAUGUGAUUCCCGAGAAAGGGCCAUCAUAUUCCAAGGGAUCGGGACCCACAGCGUGAGAAGCCCUGAACUAGAGAUCCGCCUAAACUGAGAAACAACCUAGCACCUAUCCCAGCCCAUCAAUGUUGUAUAUGGCAACAGAUUCAAAAGCCCAGACUAAAACAUACUCACCAUCCAUGUUACCAGCUCUCACCAUGGGGCAGCAAUGUGGAUUUAGUAAGCAUAGCCCACGGGCACUCAUUUUGAAGACACUAGGAGAACUUCAAAGCCAGGUUUGUUCUUCUGCCUCUGGUGACAUUUUUAAAAUUUCAGCACUGUUUUUUUUUUUAAUUGAUUCUUUGUGAAUUUCAUAUCAUGCACCUCAGUCCUGCACAUCUCCUGUCCCCUCCCUCCCUCCAACCUCCACCCUUCCCCAACAAAGAAAAAUAAGUCCCCACUAUGGAAGCUGUAGUGUGCCAUCGUGUGUCCUUUUGUCCACACUUCUUUGCUUGCAAGUGCUCAUUGCAUUGACUUUGUUGGUCUGGUACGAGUCAGGCCUCUGGCUUCUGCUAUGCUAACGAUGCUAGAACCUUACUGAGACUCCUCUAGGGUAGACUGUUGUCACCCCGUGUGUCAUGGAGACCCUGUAGUUUUGGAUCUGCAGGACUGGCUUCUUCACGUACUCCAGCAGUUCAUUGAUGGGAUAGACGUGGGGUGGGCUAACUCAAAGCCCUGGAUCUGGGCCUGAGAGGUGUCUGAGCUGCUCAGCCCACCAGCUCUCCAGUUCUUGUGGCCUUUGGAUUGGCUCGCCAGCAACCCCCUCUCCCAGGGCUAGCUCUCCUGGCUGACCAGGAACCUGACAAGACUGACUAGCCAUCUCUAGCAUUCAGAUAGGUGGAACUUCAUUGUGCUGAAGUUAUGUUUGAGCACCCUCUGCUGGACAAAUCAGAUGCUCUAUGACUACCAACAAUGUACCAGUGGUAUUCGUCUCUUGCAGAUCUGGAAGAAAAUGAAAUUUAGGUACAUACAGUCACGAACAGAUACCUAGAUGACACAUUUAAAACCCUCAAACACAGUGGAGAUGAGACCAGCAUAAUAUUAAGCUCUUCUCCCUCACAAACACCUGUGCUACCCACACUCACAGGCAAAAAAAAUAUACACAACUGCCAGACUGCAAUGCCUCCCAAUUUAUUGGCCAAAUCUAGAUUCUGCUAGCCCUGUAUAUUCACUCAGAAAGCCAGGCUUCAGACACACCAUGAGUGAUGAGAAAUCCAUUUCAUCAGCAGAGGCAUCUUGCCUAUCUUCAGGAAGCCUACAGACUUCCAGGGAAGCAGGGGGGAAAUCAAGACGUGUCUGACUAUGAGCUGGGGUAAGGGAAGCCUCCGUGUGAAGAUGUGACCUAGUUAGGACAGCUGCCGGAAAGCAGGACUGGCAAGCUUGGUGGUUUGUACACCGGGCCUUGGGAGACUUGGGACACAAACACGAGGUCUUCUGAGGAUGUUUGUGAGUUGCUGGGUUACACAAAAAGAUUCUAGCUCAACAAGCAAAGAAGCGAAGGGGAGGGAAGGGGAGGAAAGGGAGGAGAAGAAAGGAAGUGGGAAGAGAAAAUGGGGCCAAGAAAAGCCCCAAACAUCCCAUAAGCACCCAGAACAGUGUCCCCACCGCGAACCAACCGGGAACCAAAGUGUUCACACCAGAUGAGCUCGUGGAAGGGCUUUUUGCCAAUUGUUCAUGGGUCCCCAGUGAUGAUGGAAUAUUGCGACUUACGUUUCAACCGUUUAAAAAUUUACUGUUAUUAUUUAUGCAUUUCAGUGUUUUGUCUGUUACACGCUCUGUAACUCCAGUUGCAGAAAAUGUAAAACUUUUCUGCCCCCUCCCCCUCCGGCAACCGGGCACAGACAUUUACGGGAGGCUGUGGCUACUUUAGGAGAUGUGAGCGAGCAGUCUCCUUCCUGCUGCUGCAGCUGCAAGCUGCUCCUGCCGCCCAUGCCUUCUCUACUGCCAUGCCUUCCCUACCACAAGGGCCAGAACUCUCACACUGAAAGCCAGAAUAAAUCCUUCCUCUCUUCGGUUGGUUGUUGUCAGGAGAAGGCAGCAGCUGGCAUCAAUGGUGUGGUGAGGAGAGAAUCAAGUUUCCUUCUCCAGUUCAAACAGACGAAAGUGAAGCGACAUAGGCUCAAGGACAGGGUCACUGGGCUAGCGCCACACCAUGGAGCCAAACCCCGAGCCUUCUAAAUUGUGAGCUGGGCAUGGUGGUUCACCCCAGGAAUCGCAGCACUGAGGGAUGAAGGCGAGAGAGUCACUGUGGGUGUGACAUCAGUCUGGCCUGAAGUCUGAGACUGUUUUUUUAAAAAGAAAACAUUUUUUUAUGUCAUAUAUUUAAUUAUAUAAAGAUUCUGUUGUUUUGUUGUUGUUGUUGUUAAAAUUCAGCCAGGAAAUUUCCAUCUGUCUGGUGUUAAUUGGUUGUUUUUCAGCACUAAUUGGGAAAUGAUAUAUUUUUAUUGUUUUAUAAAUAGAGUAAAACCCCUCAGAAACUGCUGGGGAAAUUUAAACAAGGAAAGCAAUUCUAUGUCCUUGCUUGACACCAGUUUGUCCCAGAGGUGACACAACUGUGUAGUUUUUGAAAACACUGGGCAUUUAUAUAUAUAUGAGACAAAACCCCACUGUAUAGCCCUGGCUAACUCGAAACUCACUAUGUAAAUCAGGCUGGGCUUUGACACACAGAGCUCUGCCUUUGCCUACUCAGUGUUGGGAUUUAACACCCACACCACCAUAGCCAGCCUUCUCUCCAAGGGGCAAAUUUCUUUCUGAAGCAACUUCCUCAUUUAUUAACAGUAUUGCUUCCAGACCCCGUGUGUGUGUGUGUGUGUGUGUGUGUGUGUGUGUGUGUGUGUACAGAUAUGUGUUUGCAAGUAUUUAGACACAAGUUGAUGCAGACUACACCAGUUUCAUGAAAUUGUUCCCAUGUCAGUGGCUAGUCUGAGCCUUUUGUACUUGUAAACAGCUGGCUGUAAACUGGGGAUUCCCAUACUCUCCUCUUCAGCCCCAUAAUUAUCAUGGUGAUUUGCAACCUGUAGGUAAUGACCCGUUUGGCUCAUAUAUCAGAUAUUCUGCAUGUCAGAUAUUUAUAUUUUGAUUCAUAACAAUAGUAAAAUUAUAGUUAUGAAGUAGUAAUGUAAAUAGUUACACUGUGGGGGUCACCACAACACGAGGAACUGUGUUAAAUGGCUUCAGCAAUAGGAAGGUUGAGAGCCACUGAUUUAUUAGGUCAUUUCAUGGAUCGUGGGGAUGCUUUCUACUUUCAUCUAUUGUUUAUUACAAAAGAUGUAGACAGACAGAUAGAUAGACAGACUCACAGAUAAAUAGAAAAAUAGAUGACAGAAAGAUAGAAAGUUAGGUAAAAAGAUAAAAAGAUAGGUAGAUGCUAGAAAGAUAGAUAGACUCAAAGACAAAUAGAAAGAUAGAUAAUAGAGAAAGGUGGAAAGAAAAAUAGAUAGAUGAUGGAAAGAUAGGUAGAUAGACUGACAGAAUGA